AUAAGUAGUUAACGGUAGAUGCAAGUAGUUAACGUAGAAACUUAUGAGAAGAAGACUUGAUACCAUCUCAGAAAAAGAGGUCCAACAAAACCCAAAAUGCCACCUCAGUCCCAACCCAACAAAAUCUACUUCUACUACGGCCACCGGCGACCGUCCCAGAACCGCCCCACCGUUCACGGCGGUCUCUUCUCCAACCGUAAAACCAUAAACCCUAAUCCUAACAACCCCCAAACCCAAAACCAUAAGCACCAAUUCGAUCAAUGCACCGAUUUUGAUAUCCGAAAAUGGGACCCAGACUCACCCACCUCCCUAUCAGCUCCACCCACCAUGACUCCAUCGGAGAAAUUCUUCUCCAUGGCGCAAAACCUCUCUCCGAUCGCCCGAUACAUUGUCGAUUCCUUCCGGAAGCACAAGAAUUGGGGUCCCCUGGUCGUCGCCGACCUCAACAAGCUCCGUCGUGUCACGCCGAAGCUCGUCGCCGAGGUCCUCAAAGUCCAGACCGACCCAAGAUUCUCUUCCAAGUUCUUCCACUGGGCAGGUAAGCAAAAAGGCUAUAGACACGAUUUCGCUUGUUACAAUGCAUUUGCUUAUUGCUUGAAUCGAACAAAUCAGUUUAGAGCUGCCGACCAGGUGCUCGAGUUAAUGCACAUGCAGGGGAAGCCACCUAGUGAGAAACAAUUUGAAAUUUUGAUUAGAAUGCACUCAGAUGCUAGUAGGGGUCUUAGGGUGUACUAUGUGUAUGAGAAAAUGAAGAAAUUUGGAGUGAAACCAAGGGUAUUUUUGUUCAAUAGGAUAAUGGAUGCACUUGUGAAAACGGGUCAUUUGGAUUUGGCAAUGUCCGUUUAUGGUGAUUUUAAAGAAGGUGGAUUGGUUGAAGAGAGUAUUACUUAUAUGAUUUUAGUUAAAGGUUUGUGUAAGGCAGGAAGGAUUGAUGAAGUGUUGGAUCUUUUGAGUAGAAUGAGGGGGAACUUGUGUAAACCAGAUGUAUUUGCAUACACGGCAAUGGUACGAGUGUUGGUUUCGGAGGGGGAUUUGGAUGGGUGUUUGAGGGUUUGGGAGGAAAUGCGGAGGGAUGCGGUUGAGCCUGAUGCUAUGGCUUUCACUACUUUGAUUAUCGGUUUAUGCAAUGGGAACCGGGUUGAGAAGGGUUACGAGCUGUUUAAGGAGAUGAAACAGAAAGGAUAUUUGAUAGAUAGGGCAGUGUAUGGGUCACUGAUUGAUGCCUUUGUGGUGGAUGGGAAGGUUGGUUCAGCUUGUGAUUUGCUGAAGGAUUUGAUGGAUUCGGGGUAUAGGGCUGAUUUGUCCAUAUAUAAUUCUCUUAUAGAAGGUUUAUGUAAUGCAAACUGGGUUGAUAAGGCUUAUAAGCUUUUCCAAAUUACAGUUCAAGAGGAUCUCGAGCCAGAUUUUAUGACUGUGAAUCCAAUGUUGGUUUGUUACGCAGAAUUGAGAAGAAUGGACGACUUCUGCAAUUUGCUUUUGCAGAUGCAGAAUUUGGGGUUUAGUGUCAUUUAUGAUCUUUCCAGAUUCUUCUCAUUAAUGGUGGGUAAGGAGGGUCGAACUAUGAUGGCUUUAGAGAUUUUUGAAACGUUAAAGGUGAAAGGUUAUUGCAGUGUUUCAAUUUACAAUAUCCUUAUGGGUGCUUUCCAAAAGAUGGGGGAGGUGAACAAGGCAGUAUCACUGUUCCAUGAAUUAAAGGACUCGAAUUUCGAACCUGAUUCCUCGACUUACAGUAAUGCAAUUACAUGUUUUGUUGAAAUUGGAAAGAUCCAAGAUGCAUGUGCAUGCUAUAAUAAAAUAAAAGAGAUGUCUUCGGUUCCCUCUGUUGCUUCCUAUUAUUCUCUUGUUAAAGGGCUCUGCAAAAUCGGAGAAAUUGAUGCAGCUAUGAUACUCAUUCGUGACUGUCUAGCAAAUGUUACAAGUGGGCCCAUGGAGUUUAAAUAUACUCUCACCAUUCUACAUGUUUGUAAAUCAAAUGAUGCUGCGAAGGUAAUUGAAGUUUUAGAUGAGAUGAUACAGCAAGGUUGUCCUCCUGAUGAAAUUAUAUAUUCUGCUAUUAUCUCUGGCAUGUGCAAACAUGGAACAAUGGAAGAGGCAAGAAAAGUGUUUUCAAAUAUGAGAGAGUGCAAACUUCUAACGGAGUCCAAUUUGAUUGUUUAUGACGAGAUACUUAUUGAUCACAUGAAGAAAAAAACAGCAGAUUUGGUGCUGUCAGGAUUGAAGUUUUUUGGUCUGGAAUCCAAGUUGAAAUCGAAGGGGUGUACAUUGCUCUCUAGUUGAAAAUGCGAAUCCAGGGUGUACCUGAGAAAGGGUGAGUUCAACUCGGGCAAAAGAUAGAAGUGAAAGAAGUGGUCCAUGCGUUUCUUGCGAUAUGUCUAUAUCAAGCAACUCCCUUGAGUGUGCUUUAGCAACAGCAUCAAAUGCCUUGUGUUUCCUUGCAGUAAAUUAAACCAAACUAGUCUUUGCUUGCUCCUUUCUUAAUAUUCAGGGUUUAUUAUGUUCAUCUUCAAAAAGCUGGCGCACUUGUUGUGGUUGAAGGAAGAUCCAGCUGCUGAUUCAGUUUUUUAAAGAAUCAGAAAUGUUGAUUGUUUCACCAUUGCUUUAGGUUCUCUAAAUGAGUAGGUUGAUCUCUCCUGCUCCUGUGGUCACUUCAGCUGUUAUAUCUGCAUACUACUACGAGGUCUUACCGAAAAGGAUGAAAUCAAGCCACAGGUUCCCCAUACACGAGAUGGACACUUCUUGCCCGAUGGACUUAUUACACUUAUGGGGUAUUUUGGUUUGCCACUGCAGCUUCGCUCCCUAAAUAGGCUGAUUUUUGCCUCGAUCAUGCAUUCACUCUGCUUCCUCUAUGUUGUAGAGCAUUUUGGCACCAUAAGAGGAUGAGAUAAUUAAUGAGACCACCACAACACACCAAUAGUCAGAAGUAAUGUCAUGGUUGUUAAUUGCAAUAUGUAGAAAUGGGAACCAUCCGUGAUUUCAUUUUUACUGCACAAGAUAUGCGAAGAACUGGGAUUCAUUUGUUACAGUUCACUGCCUCACUAGAAGCUAUAUGGUUUCUAGAUUCAUGACCAAGUUUGAGAGGAAACACCAAAAUUCAGCUUCAGAGGAUUUGUAUAGAUCCCCUAUAUGCUUAUCAGGCUGGAAUGAGAAUUUAUUUGAGUUGUGGUUGGCUUUAGUGGCUUUUGGACAUCAUCAGGUCAGGACAAUUCUCACGGAUAAUUUUUCAUUGUGAAAGUUCAGAUCCCCAUUCUUGUCACAACUCCUGCUUCAUGUAGACGUACUUCUGAAGUGAAAUAAACUGUGGCAAAGAACCAUAAGGGUCAAAAAACUUGAGGGACUUUUAAAGUAGUGUGAUGCUGGACAGGGAAAUGCAGUUCAACUGUGUGAGGGUUGCAGAAUUUGCUUGAAGCUGAAUUUGUCGUUUGCUGCCUCGGUGAUCCCACCCGUCGCGCUAAAGAUAUAUAUGCUGUACGCUUCCUUAUUUUGUACAUAACGUAUUUGCUGCCUUGAUGAAUCUGCCUGCUCUGCCGAAGAUAUAUACUAAGCACCUAUCGUGUACGUUGUAGAUAGUGGAUCAACUUAUUCUUCUAGCAUGGGGAACCUCGUCCUCUUGUUAACAUUUUUGUAGUCAAAGCCCAGCCAGUAACGGAACUUUUGGUUGCUAUCCGUUCAAGCUUCAUGGUAAUAUGUAGUUUUACUCAUUUAUUCCUACCGAUGGCGAUGAAACUCAUAACUUAUUUUCAUCUUUCUGGUAGACUUGAGCCCUCAAUCUUGUGAGAGGAGGAGAAUACCACUUGAGAAAAGCAUUGGUUGUAAGGAACCACACUUCUUGGGAAAAGCUUUGAAGUUCUUGAAAUAUUA